rnacentral:rRNA from 1 species
AAUCAACGCUGGCGGCGUGCCUCAGACAUGCAAGUCGAACGAUUAAAGCUCUCUUCGGAGAGUGCAUAGAGUGGCGCACGGGUGAGUAACACGUAAGUAAUCUACCUUCGAGUGGGGAAUAACAACCGGAAACGGUUGCUAAUACCGCAUAAUGCAGCGGCAUCGCAAGAUGACAGUUGUUAAAGGAGCAAUUCGCUUGAAGAGGAGCUUGCGGCAGAUUAGCUAGUUGGUAAGGUAAUGGCUUACCAAGGCUACGAUCUGUAACCGGUCUUAGAGGACGGUCGGUCACACUGACACUGAACAACGGGUCAGACUCCUACGGGAGGCAGCAGUCGGGAAUUUUGGGCAAUGGGCGAAAGCCUGACCCAGCAACGCCGCGUGAAGGAUGAAGUAUUUCGGUAUGUAAACUUCGAAGAAUGGGAAGAAUAAAUGACGGUACCAUUUAUAAGGUCCGGCUAACUACGUGCCAAGCAAGCCGCGGUAAAUGACGU